rnacentral:rRNA from 1 species
UACGAAGGGGGCGAGCGUUGUUCGGAAUUACUGGGCGUAAAGAGUGUGUAGGCAGUGCUCUAAGUUCGGUGUGAAAUCUCCUGGCUCAACUGGGAGGGUGCGCCGGAAACUGGAGUGCUUGAGCGUGGGAGAGGAAAGCGGAAUUCCUGGGUGUAGCGGUGAAAUGCGUAGAUAUCAGGAGGAACACCUGUGGUGUAGACGGCUUUCUGGACCAUAGCUGACGCUGAGACACGAAAGCGUGGGUAGCAAACAGG